rnacentral:lncRNA from 10 species
CCCGUCCUCUUUCCGCCAUCUUUCCGCGCCGCCACAAUGGUGCGCAUGAAUGUCCUGGCAGAUGCUCUCAAGAGUAUCAACAAUGCCGAAAAGAGAGGCAAACGCCAGGUGCUUAUUAGGCCGUGCUCCAAAGUCAUCGUCCGGUUUCUCACUGUGAUGAUGAAGCAUGGUAAGUCUGCUGCCGCUGUGUUUUAUGUUUUCAUGUGAGACUCUCUAAGAAAUCAGUCCUGUAGAAAUUAAUUAUGGGGGACCAAAGUAUGUCUGUCAUACCUGAGAACGAAUGCAAUUGACCUGUGGGCUGUGGAGGAGGGGAUAGUCUGAAACUGCUGAAGAGUCACUUAGAGUAGGACUGCUGGAAAAAGGAGCUCUGCUAGGUGUUUGGGAGCUAAAUGAAUCUAAGUCAUUGAAAGGACUCCUGAGCUCAUUUCGAGACCAGCCUGGCCAACAUGGCAAAACCCCGUCUCUACUAAAAAAACAAAAAACAAAAACAAAAAUCAGCCGGUCGUGGUGGCAGGCGCCUGUAGUCCCAGCUCUUUGGAGGCUGAGGCAGGGAGAAUUGUUUGAACCCAGCAGGUGGAGGUUGCAGUGAGCCGAGAUCGGCCACUG